GGUUGCUACGGCUAAAUAUUUGCCAUCAGAUGGAAAAGAAGUAAAGAAAAUUGAACUGAGGGACUGCUUUCCAACUCUACAGAAAUGCCAAUAAUCAUGGAAGGUUGAGAUCCCUGAAGGGCUCAAGGGGAAAAGCCUUUGAUCAACUCUUCUGCUUCCCAUAUUUCAUCUUCAUCUCACCUCAGGAUGCUGGGGAACAGAUGAGCUCAUGCCUUAUAAUGUACUCGGAGGCCGGUAUAAAAGAAAGAUAACAAAUAAGGUGAUGUUCAUCAAUGAGAAACUAAUAUCAGAUAGUGAUGGAGAAAUAAGUGUACCGAAACGUUCUGGAUAAAGGACAAUUAAAUUCAGGAGCUCGGUUCUUCCAGUAAGAAGCCAUCUUUCUUCUCCAUGGUCUUCAAGUGCUUUUUAGUGUUCAGUAUCCAGGAAAUAGUCUAAAUAGUGUCAAGGAGGCAUCCUGAGCUCACUCGCUACCAUGGUAGAGGUAGAAUUGGGGUCAGAAUUUUAAAGAGACUUGGGGAAUCUGGGGGUUCUCUAACCUUUGUAUCUUUCUCAGCUUUUACCAGAGUGCUAUGUACACAGCAGGUCAUCAACCAAUGUUUGUUCAUUUUAAUUGAAUUCAAGUCAAUCCCAGGGUCAAUGAUGAUCAUGUUCUAAAAAAUAAAAAAGUGAGCCAGGACUUAAAGUAAAGCAUGUGCAGAAAUGCUCUGGCUCUUUUCUAUCAACUAUGUGUGUUACCUAGGUUCUUAGAACCAUCUGCGCAGGAGAAAUAAGCCCUUCAUUGGCCACUGAACAGGAAGAGCUCAUGACUCAGAGGACCUUUAAAAAAGGAGUGGUUCUUCAUCUGGUUAUCUGCACUGUUUAUUUUGCUGCUUGAAACCUAAGUGACAGUAUGCCACUAUCAUUAUGGGGUUUUGUCUAAACCUUUACUCCACUGCAGGUGCAGAAAUAUACAGAUACAUUUUUGGAGAAUUGACAUUUUGCAAAAUGCAGCAAACAUUUUAAUUUAUAUACAAGAAAGGGAAGUGUUCAAAAGGGUAUGCAUUUCAAGUUAUUGCAGGUUAUUUCUGUGAGAGAUUUCUGCAGGUAAAAUAUAUUUAAAUUUACUGGUUAUCUUUUUUUGAUCCUCCAAUGGCACUGGAGCUUUCCGGGUAAGGGAAGGACAACUUACCUUUUUCUCUACCUUGGCUACCAAACAACCAGGAGGACACAGCAGUUAAACCAUAUGUCCUCCAAGGGUAAGCCUGAGGACUUCAAAAUCUUGCUGCCUUUUUUAUUUUGUGUUUUUUCUUUCCUGGAUUUAGGUGACUAAACAUCAGCCUCAAGAUAAAAUCCAAUCUUGAAGUGACCUUGAGAAUAGCAGAGGAUGAGAGAUCCUAGUUAGCUUAGUUGGAGCUGCAUGGGGAGGUUCUGAAUUGGAAAAGAUGAUUACCAACAAGAAGAGAAGCCAAAACCCUGGCCUGCCUAAUCAGAAGAUGUAGAUUUUGAGGAUUCAGAGCAGCACUAAGAUAAAAUAUAAGAAUACUUCUUCCUUAGUCCCUCAGACUGCUGGUCUGGUCCAGUGAUCUUUAAGUCUCAACUUCCCAGAACAGCAAAAGAGUAAUUGUAUUAAGAUACUGAAAGCCAUUCUGAGUCUGUCAAUGUUUACUUGUUUUUUUUAAAUUUAAUUUAUUGUAUUUUGAACUUAAAAAAUAAA